rnacentral:rRNA from 1 species
GAUGAACGCUGGCGGCGUGCCUAAUACAUGCAAGUCGAGCGAACGGACGAGAAGCUUGCUUCUCUGAUGUUAGCGGCGGACGGGUGAGUAACACGUGGAUAACCUACCUAUAAGACUGGGAUAACUUCGGGAAACCGGAGCUAAUACCGGAUAAUAUUUUGAACCGCAUGGUUCAAAAGUGAAAGACGGUCUUGCUGUCACUUAUAGAUGGAUCCGCGCUGCAUUAGCUAGUUGGUAAGGUAACGGCUCACCAAGGCAACGAUGCAUAGCCUACCUGAGAGGGUGAUCGGCCACACUGGAACUGAGACACGGUCCAGACUCCUACGGGAGGCAGCAGUAGGGAAUCUUCCGCAAUGGGCGAAAGCCUGACGGAGCAACGCCGCGUGAGUGAUGAAGGUCUUCGGAUCGUAAAACUCUGUUAUUAGGGAAGAACAUAUGUGUAAGUAACUGUGCACAUCUUGACGGUACCUAAUCAGAAAGCCACGGCUAACUACGUG